rnacentral:rRNA from 1 species
AUUGAACGUUGGCGGCACGCCUAAUACAUGCAAGUCGAACGAGAAAGCACUUCGGUGUGAGUACAGUGGCGGACGGGUGAGUAACGCGUAGGAAUCUACCUAGUAGUGGGGGACAACUCGGGGAAACUCGAGCUAAUACCGCAUACGCUCUAAGGAGGAAAGUGGGGGACCUUUGGGCCUCACGCUAUUAGAGGAGCCUGCGUUAGAUUAGCUAGUUGGUGAGGUAAAGGCUCACCAAGGCUACGAUCUAUAGCUGGUCUGAGAGGACGAUCAGCCACACUGGAACUGAGACACGGUCCAGACUCCUACGGGAGGCAGCAGUAGGGAAUCUUGGGCAAUGGGCGAAAGCCUGACCCAGCGAUGCCGCGUGUGCGAAGAAGGCCUUAGGGUUGUAAAGCACUUUCAGUUGCGAAGAAAAGCUGCGAUUUAAUACAUCGCGGUCUUGACGUUAACAACAGAAGAAGUACCGGCUAACUCCG